rnacentral:lncRNA from 1 species
GACGCGGGUGAGUGAACCCGCGUUGGCUUAACCCGAGUUGAACUCGUCUGAUCCGGAACAAUGUUCAUUCUUCACUCCUUUUUAACCAAAAUGUUUCCAAACACCUCCAAUCACUCCAUACGACACUCCAAUACCUGAUAAAGACAUAUGAAUGCAAUAUGGAUCCUAAAGAUGCUAAAUUCCUAAUCUAUAUGAUCAUUAUGUGCAAAAUGGAGACUUAAAACAAUGCAAACAUGCAAGAUAUCAACUCCCCCAAACUUGUUCUUUACUUGUC